rnacentral:lncRNA from 1 species
CUCUCCCCUCCCCCUGUCGACAACCCAGGGUCAGAGGACAGGCAGCCACCUGGCCAAGGGGCAGGCCCCCUUGUGCCCUGGAUGGUGAUGGCCUCUGGGGCCAGAAAGAACAAGGUGGUGAGGGGACCAUGGAAGACGGCCUGGACUUUAGAAAGCUCCUGCAAGCCUCCUGCCAAGUGAGUGUGGAGAGCUGAUCUCAGUGUGGCUGAGGUUAAUGGACAGGAAGUGCCAUUACCUAAAUGGGCCAAUAAGCUGAUGAGAAGCCCGAGAAGAAAGCCUUUCCAGGCCUUGACCCAGAGAGCCGGCAGGAAAGCGGCAGGCGUCGCGGCCCCAGCAGGGAAGACCAGCUCCUGAGCUCGAGCCCCAGCUCCAUCUGCAGCCUGGCCUCACCGCAGUGCCCUCGGACCUCUGCUCACCCUUCUCUGGCCUCCUCUGGCCUCCUCAGGGCUCCUGCACACACACCUGUGGGUCUACAAGGGGCAAAAAAGAUCCCGGAACAUCGGAGCAAGAGCCCCCCACCCGACCCCGUGUGCAAGCCCCCAUUUACGUGUUGCACUCCCAGGGGCCCCUGAAGCCCUCCCUCUCGGCCUCAAAAUUCCCAUUGCAGACAUGGUCCAGCAAGGCCAGCUGUCUGGCUUUCCGGCCGACGAUCAAAACAGCAAGUCGGAAUGAUGAUGGGCUGAUGGACGCGGGCCACCGACAACCAGGUGACCACUGAGAGCAAGGAAGAAGCCACACAGAUGCAAGGCCCCCAAAGUGGGAAACCCCGUGGCAGGGGCCAGGGGCACCUAAAUAACAGACGUCCCACGGUGUCACCUGGGCCCGGUACAGGAUGGCGGCUAGCAAGGCCGUGUCACCAGGAGGCUGAGUCACGGGGAGGCUGCGCCACUGGGAGGCUGCGCAGACUGUUGAAGGGGGCACAGGAACGUGGAAUUGGUGUUGGACCAAAUGAAACUGCCAACACCUGCCCUCAAAACUGGGGAGUUCCCAGUGGCUGAACCGAGGAUUUCCACAAUGGGGGGCACUGUUCUAAAAAGAGAAGGUUGAGGGCCUAGACCGUUGAGUUGUAAUCAUUCACAAAACCUUUUCCAUGGAAUUCUGCAGCUGGCCUGGGAAGGCUGUGCACGGUGGCCACACGGUGCUGCGGUGAAGUCUAAGGGGCUGUUCAACGUAGCACCUACAUUUGGGGAAUUACAGAUGCCACAGCCUGCAGGGAGGCACCCACAACUGUCUCCCCCAAGGUAAAGACGACUGUCCUUCACUUACGACACACCGGGUUCCUGCACAGCGAUGGCCUGGAGCAUCCAGAGAAGGGUCCCUGCUCUCAGAGCCGGCCAGGCGGGCUGUGUACACGGCCACGGAAAGCACCCUUGGGGGAGGGUGUUGCUGUGAUUUCUGCACCCCCACUUCCUCACGUCCUGCAACCUAGCUAGAAUCUGCAAUCAAAAGCUACCCAGCUUUGGAAGGCUGAGUGGGAUCACUUAAGGCCAGGAGUUUGAGUCCAGCCUGGGCAACACAGCAAGUUCCCGUCUCUGAAAAAAAAAAAAAAAUUAGGCAGGCGUGGUGGUGUGUCGCUGUGGUCCCAGCUCCUCAGGAGGCUGAGGUGGGAGGAUCACUUGAACCCUGGAGUUCAAGGUUGCAGUGAGCCAUGAUCGCACCACUGAAGGUCAGCCUGGGCAACAGAGUAAGACUCUAUCCCAAACGGAAUUUGUUCUCACUCUGGACACCCCCAGGGGCACCCUGUGUUCACAGGCAGAUCCAGGGGGCGGGAGUGAGACCUUGCCAUGCCUGUCUCAAAAAAAAAAAAGCCAUCAAGGAUGCUUUGGGUGUCGGCCGCCGCAGGCCCCCAUCUCUCUGCAUCUAGCCACAUCACUUGGCCCUCAGAAUGGAGCAGGAAUGCGAGUUCCAGGCCCAAGAGCCACAGGAUGGCGGGAGCUCUCACAAAAUGAGCGUGGUCUUGCUAGCGGGGCACAGGCUGUCUCCAGUGGACAGGCCACUCCCACACAGGCAUGGAAGUGCAGGACGCGCUCUUCCCGGGACCUUGUGCUGCGGGUGCAACUGUUAGGGUGACCGAGGGAGGGAGGGACAUGGGCAGAUGGGCAGCCAGGGUACCCUCGGGAGAGGCGUGUGGCUCCGAGCUGCCGACGCACCAGCAGGAACAGGCUCCAAAGGACCCUCAGGAGCGAUGACAUAAAGACCCUCCCCCGCUGCAGGCACUGCCAAACAUUCUGGGUGAGCUCCAGCCCAACCCUCCCACUGUUUGGAUGGGGACCCCUGAGGCCCAGGAGUCCACCCAGGUCCCCGUGGUCUCCACGGGGACCAGGGGAGCCAGGCUUCAUGCCUGGCCACAGCCCUUGCUGGGUAGGGGAGGUGGGUCUGACUUCCAGGGGAGCAUGGUGGGGGCAGCAGGGCCUGCUCGUGGGUCCCUGCCGGGGCCAGAGCGAGGCCACUGGGUGGUGGCGUGGUUCCUAGCUCAGGCCCAGCAGCCCAGGCCUCAACACAGCCCAGAAUCUCCUGCAGGCCUAAUUUCUGGAGUCUGGCCAGGCACGGUGGCUCACGUCUGUAAUCCCAGCACUUUGGGAGGCCAAGGCAGGUGGAUCCAAGGUCAGGAGUUCGAGACCAGCCUGACCAACAUGGUGAAACCCCAUCUCUACUAAAAAUAUAAAAAUUAGCCGGGCGUGGUGGUGGGUGCCUGUAAUCCCAGCUACUUAGGAGGCUAAGGCAGGAGAAUCGCUUGAAUCCAGGAGGUGGAGGCUGUAGUGAGCCAAGACUGCACCAUUGCACUCCAGCCUGGGUGACAGAGAGAGACUCUGUCUCAAAAUAAAUAAAUAAAUAAGUAAAUUUAUUUAUUUCUGGAGUCUUCAUCUUACAAAGACGCAGGGGCCGGAGCUGCCCCUCACAAAAGGCAAGAAUGGGCUGCGUGUCAGAGUCAGGCCCAGACCAGGGACAGCAAAGCCACUGGCAGACAGGCGAGGAUGAGGACAAGGCCCUGCUGCCGGACACAGUGUGUUGUCUGCACUGAAGGGGGGCCAGCGAGUGCGCAGAUGGCAGCCCAGACAGGGAGGAGCCCCUAGCACAGGCCUCUCCUGGGCUCCAGGCACUUCCAGAAGAGGAACAGUUAGGAGAAGGCAGGUAAAGGGGUGGGGCCAGGGCCAGGAGGGGCAGGGUGCCUGCUGUGGCUCUGAAGUUACUGCAGAUGCCCUCAGGGGCACAGCGGGGUGACUCCACCUUCCACAGUGACUCUGCAAGAUGGACGCCCCUGCCCUAUUUCUCAGGCGGGAAAUGGGUUCCAGCAGUAUCCAGACCACACCCUUGGAAGGGCAGAACCAGGAGCCCCCGUGCCGGGGGGCUUCAUAGCCACGGCCUCUCACUGCCCUACCAGCAGGGUCACUGCCCCAUCACCAGGAGCCUCUCAAGGGGUGUCCCCACGCACACAGCAGAAAAUCCCAAGGACUGGCAACUGCUUGAGCCUCCCGAAGUCCUGGGAUUACAGGCGUGAGCCACCACGUCCGGCCCUGCCAGGGCUUUCGGUUGCCGUGUGUGCACGUCUCUGUGUGUGCACAUGCAUGCACAGGUGUUAAAUCUCAGGCCGGGGAUGGUGGCUCACACCUGUAAUCCCAGCACUUUGGGAGGCCAAGGUUGGCGGAUCACUUGAGGCCAAGAGUUCGAGACCAUCUGACCAACAUGGCGAAACCCCAUCUCUACUGAAAAUAUGAAAAUCAGCUGGGCAUGGUGGCACGCACCUGUAGUAGUCCCAGAUACUCAGGAGACUGAGGCACAAGAAUUGCUUAAACCUGGGAGGUGGAGGUUGCAGUGAGCGGAAAUGGUGCCACUGCACUCCAGCCUGGGCAACAGGGCGAGACUUUGUUUAAAAAAAAAAAAGAAAGAAAUUGUCAUCUCUGUCUCUCUGUUUUGCAUUCUGGUCAAAUUCCGUAUUUCUCUCUUCUAUUUCACUAAUUCUCUUUUCAACUGUGUACUUCAUCCUAUCCCAUCUUCUGAGCCUUUUGUCUCGGUGACUGUAUUUUUCAUUUCCAGGAUGUGCCAUUUUCAUAACUAUCUGUUCUUGUCUUGAAUCUGCCAUUCAGUUUUUGUAAUGUAUUUACUUUAAUGGCUGUGGUCCUUUUUCUUAUCUCUUUGGUAGAUUAAGUCUUUAUUAGAUUCCUCCAUAAACUUUACUCCAUCUGGAAUGAAUUCAUGUUCUGGGUAUGAAUUUUGUUGGUUGUUUCUUUUUUAAUUUCAAUGAAAUUAGGAUAACGUAAAGUUAGCAAUUUAAAAGUGUGCAAUUUAGUGGCAUUUAAUACACUCAGGAUGUUGUGUACCCAUAACUGUUUCUUAACAUGCAAAAUCCCGUGCUUCUGAAUUGGGGCUUGCAGACUCAUUUUUAAAAGUUUAGUCAUUGGAUCAGGAUAUGGGAAAUCAAUUCUCUGAAAGUCAGUUCACAAAAUGACCUUGAUUGGUCAGUUUGCUGAAAAUC